CUGCCACACUGGGACUGAGACACGGCCCAGACUCCUACGGGAGGCAGCAGUGGGGAAUUUUGGACAAUGGGGGCAACCCUGAUCCAGCCAUGCCGCGUGUCUGAAGAAGGCCUUCGGGUUGUAAAGGACUUUUGUCAGGGAGGAAAUCCCUAAGGUUAAUACCCUUGGGGGAUGACAGUACCUGAAGAAUAAGCACCGGCUAACUACGUGCCAGCAGCCGCGGUAAUACGUAGGGUGCAAGCGUUAAUCGGAAUUACUGGGCGUAAAGCGUGCGCAGGCGGUUUGAAAAGUCAGCUGUGAAAGC
rnacentral:rRNA from 1 species